UUGGUUGAGACUCGAUACUACACUCUUUGAGAUUGGACUUUAGGGAAGCUUUGGUCAACCACUUGGUGUUGCACUGAAGUGGACUUAAGGGAAGGUCAAUGAUUGGAGAUCCUUUUAGAACCCGGUUACUAUUCUAGGACAGGUUGAACCAACCAAACUUCAGUGGGGAGGGUACUUACCUAUGGAACUCAUGCAAGCCUUAAAACUUAGGAAUGAUCGUUGUGUGACUUGCUUGUGCUUGUUAUUUACUUAACAUCAUGACAUCAUGACAU
rnacentral:lncRNA from 1 species